UUGUCCUUGUUAGGGCAACCAAACAUGAAUUGUCUUUAAAUUGUCUACCAGUGCACAUUAAGGUCUCAUUUGCCAUCGUGAAUGUUAAUGGACUUAUGACAAGAUGAAGGGAAUCAUAGCUUUAGUGUUCGUUUGUCUUCUUUCGGAUUUAACAUAUUCUCAGGUUAUUUCGUGGACACAGACCGGAUUCACCGUCUGGGAACGGUACUGCAUCAGUCAAGAUGACAUACGGUACUAAAGUAGUGGAGACAACUACAGCUGGUGACGCUAUUCUGACCGUGACAGCAAUUCCCACCGGCACGUACACUUACGCUUUAACAGUCACUGGGAACCCUGGUAGCGUGGGAAAUAUUGCGACGGCAUCGGCUGCCUCUGGAGCGAUUACACUUGCUUCAACAAAAUCCAUGGAUUACGAAACAACGAAGUCCAUUUUUUUCGUCGUUACCUAAGUCUUUCUGAUAUAGAUAAUGUCCAUAUGAAUAUAUUUUAUAUAUUAUUUACUGUUAUUGAAUUAUUUUGUUAAUUGUUGUACUGAUAUUGCUUGUGAAGGAUGCAAAUUGUUGCCUGUUUGCUUUGAACACGAUGUUUUAAUAUAAAUUUGCAUCAAUUUCAUUUAUCAGUAUUAGUUAAACACUUAUUGACUCGUAUGCAAAAAAGAAGUCCCGAUCAUGAGCACAAUUCAAACAGUAAAGGUCAACAUUUCAUAGGCAAAUGUCGAUGAGUCAAAAUUACUUAAGCAGUAUCUCUGUUGAUCGCGUUUCCCGUCCAAUAAACCUCUCUACGUCAAAUUAAUGUUAUGAUACAAUUUUUGGAGGAUAAUCGCAUACAAUUUUUGGAGGAUAAUCGCUUACAAUCAGCAUCAAGGACAUGUGUUUAUGUCAUUUCAAUAUUUAAAUUCAAAACUUACAUGUGUUAUACACUGUAUGAUAAGACAUUCCUAUGGCCAAAAACGUGUAUUAUUGACUGAUAAACAACGUUUAGUUGACAAUUACAAUUUGCUUCAACUAUAAAUUUUUGGCAUGCUGGUUUCGACAUUUGAUUUGCUAUGUUAUCAUUAAAUAAAUAUCCUCAACAGAA